UACGUAGGGCGCAAGCGUUGUCCGGAAUCAUUGGGCGUAAAGAGCUCGUAGGUGGUCUGUUACGUCUGCUGUGAAAUCCUAGGGCUUAACCCUGGGCCUGCAGUGGAUACGGGCAGACUAGAGGUAGGUAGGGGAGAAUGGAAUUCCCGGUGUAGCGGUGAAAUGCGCAGAUAUCAGGAAGAACACCCGUGGCUAAGGCGGCUCUCUAGUACGGUACUGACGCUGAGACGCGAAAGCGUGGGGAGCGAACAGG
rnacentral:rRNA from 1 species